CGCGUGAGUGAAGAAGGCCUUCGGGUUGUAAAGCUCUUUCGCAAGGGAAGAAAACUUAUGAUCGAAUAAAUCAUGAGGUUGACGGUACCUUGAUAAGAAGCACCGGCUAACUACGUGCCAGCAGCCGCGGUAAUACGUAGGGUGCGAGCGUUAAUCGGAAUUACUGGGCGUAAAGCGUGCGCAGGCGGUUUUGUAAGUCGGAUGUGAAAUCCCCGGGCUCAACCUGGGAACUGCGUUCGAAACUGCAAGGCUAGAGUGUGUCAGAGGGGGGUAGAAUUCCACGUGUAGCAGUGAAAUGCGUAAAGAUGUGGAGGAAUACCAAUGGCGAAGGCAGCCCCCUGGGAUAACACUGACGCUCAUGCACGAAAGCGUGGGGAGCAAACAGGAUUAGAUACCCUGGUAGUCCACGCCCUAAACGAUGUCAACUAGUUGUUGGUAGAGUAAAAUCUAUGAGUAACGUAGCUAACGCGUGAAG
rnacentral:rRNA from 1 species